rnacentral:rRNA from 1 species
GAUGAACGCUGGCGGCGUGCCUAAUACAUGCAAGUCGAGCGAACAGAUAAGGAGCUUGCUCCUUUGACGUUAGCGGCGGACGGGUGAGUAACACGUGGGUAACUUACCUAUAAGACUGGAAUAACUCCGGGAAACCGGGGCUAAUGCCGGAUAACAUGUUGAACCGCAUGGUUCUACAGUGAAAGGCGGCUUUGCUGUCACUUAUAGAUGGACCCGCGCCGUAUUAGCUAGUUGGCGAGGUGACGGCUCACCAAGGCAACGAUACGUAGCCGACCUGAGAGGGUGAUCGGCCACACUGGAACUGAGACACGGUCCAGACUCCUACGGGAGGCAGCAGUAGGGAAUCUUCCGCAAUGGGCGAAAGCCUGACGGAGCAACGCCGCGUGAGUGAUGAAGGUCUUCGGAUCGUAAAACUCUGUUAUUAGGGAAGAACAAAUGCGUAAGUAACUGUGCGCGUCUUGACGGUACCUAAUCAGAAAGCCACGGCUAACUACGUG